rnacentral:lncRNA from 1 species
AUGACAACCAAUCUGAGAGUGACUGAAUUCAGUGUUUCUCCACCGAAUAGGAUAGGAAUGGAUAGGAAUGGAUAUGGAUGCACAGCUGCAUUGGAAGAACCACUACCCACUACACUUGGUGUAGUAAGGUCCCUCACAUGCUGUAGUGGAAGGAAUUCUCAUCUCUCCCAAGAAAAUCUUAAUAAUCAUGCUCCAGAGCAACUUGUUCUAGGGCUCUUCCAUCCUACUGCUGAAGGUGGGCACAACACAGCCAAGGCUGCAGAAGCCAGUGAACAGAAGAGGGCAAACAAGAGGCCUGGCUCUGUCAGAGCACUGAGAUACCUGGAGUCUUGCUUCCCUCUUCCUGAUGAUGUUUGUGUGUUGAGAUGAAAAGCCAAGAGACCUGGAGACAAAGUUCAGCAGUCCAGUGAGUUCAACCACCUGAAUUCCGCUUGCCUCUUGUUUCAGGAACCUCAACACCAUCGCUGAGGACCUCUUGUUGCAUUCCUUGGCAGUUGUGGCUUCUUACUGACUUUCCAUUUAAUCAGUUCAGUGUGUUUUCAUACACUCUUGCUCCAAGAUGCCAGGGAUCUUGCCUGUGUGUUUACUCCUCUCAGGGUCUAAGAAGAAGUAGUAAAAGCACUCAAGUCAAUUUAGGACUGUGGGAUCUUGACUUCCCAAGGAGUUUGCCUGCUGGUAGCUGAGCCCCCAACUUCAUUAGUAAGGUAUGAAGAUGAUUCAGGUAAACCCAAGUGUUCUGCUGACUUGUUAUACCAGCUCAGGUUUCUAGGUUGUGCCUUUCCAAGUUUCCUGACUGGACAGGUACCAAUUCACACCGGCUUCCUUUGAAGCUUUAAUUUGCAGCCUGGAUGCACAACUACACCCAGGACCACAACUGGAUUUACAAGGCCUGGGAAAAGACUAGAAAUGGAGGUACUUUGCUCUCCUCCCACACUACCCUGCAGAGCUCAGGGCUACAGUUUGGCACUGACAAGUGUGAAUUUGGUCCAUCUGGACAGCCUGAGAGAUGAAAGCUCUGGGUGGGAAUCUGCACGUCCGGUUGGGUUGGAGCAUGCUAAGAACAAGAACAGGGAUCUUUAAUGCUGACUUUAUCAAGUGGCAUAUGCAUUCAGAUCUCUGAUCCUUUUUUUUCCAGCCUCUCCUGCCAACCAUAGGAAAUUUUUACAUCAAACCUCCCCAAGCUUGCCAUCCCUCAACAGAAUGUAUUCACCAUCAGAAGGAAGGAACAUACAAAAAAAUUUGCAUAUUUCUGUGGCCAGCUGCAGACAGAACAAGAUGUCUUCAUUCUGACAUCUCUGUUGCUCAGAUGUGCUGCUGGAUAUCUCUGGUACAUGUCUGGCAAACUUUUCCCAUGACAAGCUGUGCUUUCCUGUAACAUCAUCACUUUUCUGCUGUACAAAUAUGUUUAGAAUUUUACAGAUUUUUUUACAGGCUUCAUGUUAGCUAAAGAUGGGCAUGGAACAGCCCUUCGAUGUUGUUCCACUAAGAUUUUAUUGAAAAAGUUCAGUGCCAUUUUAAUGAAUCUAAUGCAACUUUCAGGAUAUUUUGAAUCUAUCUCUAAUAUCUUCAGCAUUUUUUUCUGUUGGCAUCUGUGGUGUUGUUUUCAAAUGAUGCCAUAAUGAGGAUGUCAACUGUAACUCUUAUAAAUCCACUGCUGAAUCUUUCUUCUUCCCUAGUGUAGAGUAACAUUACUGAAACUCAACUAAAUGGUCUCAUACACCUCAUGCUCCCAUAAAAAACUUUAACUGAAGUCAAGGGUAUAUGGUGGACAGUCUCACACUCCUUGUCAGAAGCUGAUUUGGAUGAAAUGUUCAAAGCCAUCAUCUAGAAACCCAUUAAAUCACCUCCAAAAUCCCACUGGCUCAAGUAAUUGAAUUUGUGAUUAAAGACCUGUUGCAGUCAUCUGACAACAGCCCUUCCAUUGACUCCAGCAAGGUUUGCAUCAGACACCUUUCUUACCUGUUUUUGUGUCUCAACAUGAAACAUGUGAAGGCCUCCAGAGUCUGAACAUGGUCUUGUACCUGGACACAAUAAAAGCUUCAAUAAGACCCUUGUGGUGUCUCUU